GCUGAAAUAGUAUAAUGGUAGUACAGUCGGUUGUGGUCCGACUGGUCUGAGUUCAAUUCUCGGUUUCGGCA
rfam:Spironucleus salmonicida unplaced genomic scaffold scf7180000020686, whole genome shotgun sequence.